CACUCCUGCCUCAGGCCUCAGCCACCACAGUAAGUGGAACUCUAUACCUCCACCUCGCCUGGCUGGGUGGAGCCUCUAAACUCAGGAUUCUGCCUUGAGCUGUGGCUCUCCCCUCAGGUUGACAGGGUCCAGAGCAAAACCUACGGAAGAAGCUGCAGAGGCCAGGUGGAGGGAAGGAUGCUGAACUGGAGGAGGCCAGGAAAUUAUGAGGUGAUUCUAAGCACAUUAAAAUCUGGAUGACACUUAUCUGAAUCAUUUCGCAACUUGGAGAGAGAUGGAGAAGACACGCAUGGUGUAACUGGGCAUCACCAGAAUGUGCACUGCCAUCUGUGGCUGUCUUCCUGCUGGCAAAUCCUUUUCAUUCCAAGCAAAUAAGAUUCCCUAAAUUAGACAAAAAGGAAGAAACACAACAGAGUCCAUAAUUCUGAGAGGAAGAGAAGAGUGAUCAUCAGCAGCAAAAGGCAAUUGCAGAGAAGCACCACCAAGAGCCAGCUUCAUGCUCAGGAGUGAAUGCUGAGCCGCCUCCUCGUGGUUUCCGGUGCUCCACAUGUUCAGAGAAACUUCUCUGCUCAAAUGUUGCCUUUUCCAAAACCACCCAUGGGCCUGCCCCCUGACAUCCUGUGCCUAUAAAAACCCCAUACUCAGCUGGCAGAGAGAAGAGAAGCAGCUGGACGUUGGUGACUAUGGUUAGACAUUGGAGAGAAGCAGCUUCACUUCAGAGGGACAGCUUGACACGUAACAUCAGAGAAGAAUCUGGCCAGAGAUGGCUGGACUUCAGGAGAAGAUUACCUUCCCUCUCCAUCCCCUUUUCAACUUCCCUUCCUGCUGAGAGCCACUUUCAUCGGCAAUAAAAAUCCCCUACAUUUGUCAUCCUUCAA
ensembl:lncRNA novel transcript, antisense to C7orf33 and CNTNAP2